GGUGUGAUGGUGUAGUUGGUCAUUGCAUCUGUUUCACAUUCCAUUCCAAUUGGCCAGUACGCCGAAGGUCUUCAGUUCAAGCCUGGAUCAAAUCA